GUUCUAGAUUCCAGAAAGAACGAGGUCGAGUUUCUGCCCCCAAAAGAGCUACAAAGGGUCUAAGCAGGAAGAAACAGAUGAUUCUCCGAAAAACCGGAAGCGAAA